UUAACUUAUUAUAUAGUACUCAGACGACACUGUAAUUCAGAGUUUAGGGUUCUCUGGCGGGCGUCAACGAAGACGCAACCGCCAAAGCAACAAAGGUAUGUUAUUCAAGGGUGGGAGAUCUACCCGUUAGGGCAUCAACUCGCUAAUGAUCCUUCCGCAGGUUCACCUACGGAAA
rnacentral:misc_RNA from 1 species